rnacentral:rRNA from 1 species
AUUGAACGCUGGCGGCAGGCCUAACACAUGCAAGUCGAGCGGAUGAAGGGAGCUUGCUCCUGGAUUCAGCGGCGGACGGGUGAGUAAUGCCUAGGAAUCUGCCUGGUAGUGGGGGAUAACGUCCGGAAACGGGCGCUAAUACCGCAUACGUCCUGAGGUAGAAAGUGGGGGAUCUUCGGACCUCACGCUAUCAGAUGAGCCUAGGUCGGAUUAGCUAGUUGGUGGGGUAAAGGCCUACCAAGGCGACGAUCCGUAACUGGGCUGAGAGGAUGAUCAGUCACACUGGAACUGAGACACGGUCCAGACUCCUACGGGAGGCAGCAGUGGGGAAUAUUGGACAAUGGGCGAAAGCCUGAUCCAGCCAAGCCGCGUGUGUGAAGAAGGUCUUCGGAUUGUAAAGCACUUUAAGUUGGGAGGAAGGGCAGUAAGUUAAUACCUUGCUGUUUUGACGUUACCAACAGAAUAAGCACCGGCUAACUUCGUG